GAAUACGACAACACACAAGCCCCAGCAUACACAAGUCGCAAGCCGGUGCUUGGCCUGUCCAUGUUGCUCACCGCUUCUGUCCUCUUGCUUAUGUCCUCUUCCACUCUUCCCGGUUGCUGCAGCUCGAUAAACUGGAGUAGUUGGCUCGCAGAUCCAUCGUGUUUUAGAUAUUGCUAAACCUGUAUUUCUAUUGGUGUGUGUACUGAUGUGAUGAGAUAGAGUUCCAUCGUCCAAUUUUCCGUAGGAGCUAAAAAUGUAUAGAUGCGUGCAGAAAAUAAGAGAGGCAACGGAGAGAGGAGGCGGGAAUCAGAUCACAGCGUGGAAAUUCUCCAAAAUGUUGUUCAUGUCUCUCUAUCCUCUCAAAUCCUAACACCAAAAUCCCUAACUCUCACAAUAUGGCAUUAGAGCAGGUCGAUCCUGUGCGAUAUUACCCUGACUCGAGUGAGCACGGUGUUGUGACGUCGUGAGCUACAAGUGGUUGAGUCGCUGAGAGAGCAUCCAUGGUCGUCGCCCCCAACUCCAUGAAGUUAUGCGCGUGCUGCUGCUGUCUUCUCAAGUACAGUUAGUCUUGCUCAAUAUAAUGAUUUAAUGGAAUUUUUUUUAUCAAGAAAAAACAAGCAUAUCUUACUGAAACUUGAGUGCAAUUUGUGAGCUAGUUGGGACAUGGAACGUGUGAGAGUUAAAAUUGAAGACAAGAUU
rnacentral:lncRNA from 1 species